UGACAUGUUUCUAUUAAUAAAUUUAGUGCACCUCAUCCCGUCCGAUUUGAGAAGUUAAGCAUCGUCGAGCCACAUCAGUACUGAGGUUGGAGACAACUUGGGAACCUGUGGUGCUGAGUCUU
rnacentral:rRNA from 1 species